rnacentral:lncRNA from 1 species
GAUCCUGGCUUCAAUAGGAAGACCUUUGAUUCUUUAUCAAGUACUCAGUUGUAUCUUCUUAAGAAACAUUCUCUUCACUUUUAAGAUCUUUCUAUUCCUGAUUCGAGGUAAAUUUGUUUUCUUUGUUUCUCUUUGUUUUUUAAUCUGGAUACUUGUUCACACUCCAUAGAGAUUAUCAACAUUAUUUCUCUUAUGAAAUAUAGAUAUAUGAGUUAUAUUAUUAUACUUUUUAAUAAAAACCAUUUUUCAUAAUUUUAAUAAAGUUUAAUGUAGUUUCUUUGGUCACAACUUACUAUAUAUUAUGGGUAUAAAUUGACCUUAAUUUACUGCUGAUGUUCUUUAUCUUUACAUUCAGAUAUGUUUACAAAAUAAAAUAAUGAGAUCGGUCACUUUUUAAUUUGUAAUACUUGACAUUUAAUUUCACAAUUUUUUUUUUUUCUUUUUUGAGACAGAGUCGCUCUCUGUCACCCAGGCUGGAGUGCAAUGGCAUGAUCUCAGCUCAUUGCAACCUCCACCUCCCGGGUUUAAGGGAUUCUCCUGCCUCAACCUCCCUAGUAGGGGGGAUUACAGGCGCCAGUCACCCUGCCCGGCUUUCACAAUUUUAUUAGUAUGAGUAAAAUGUUCAUUUUUUAUCCUAUGCAAUAAUGUAUAUAUAUAUGACAUAGAAAUUGUGUAUUUCUUUAAAGUUUUAGAUACCUUAACU